UAAAAUAAAAUAAAAUAUAACUAGCUAGCUAGUUUAUAUGUAAACGAUUCAAUCAAUGCGUUAAUUAUAUAAGCGAAGCAACUGGGUAAAUUCUUGAACAGAAACAACACAUGAACGUUAAAUGAGUUUCUCGUUUAGAUCAGUACAAACACAUGAUCAUGUCUCGUUCCUUACGGGUCUCUCCUCUACUGUAAAUCCUGUUGGCGUGUCUCAUGAUCCCCUGUUGCUGACUUUUGAUCGUGCUCCAUUUGACAAUAGCCAACUUUCUUAGUUCUUAAUGAUGACAGGGUUUAACGUAAUACAUGGUCGGAGAUAAUCAUCAACCCUUUUGGGCUUAUAAAAUCUAAGUGUAUGACGGAAAACGUGGGACACGGCAAGAAUUAGUUAAUAAUUACUAGUUGCAUUAAAUAUAUCAUCAGCAUGCUACUUAUUUUUGAUUUGCUUGGCUAGCUAGAACAGUAAGCAAUUGGCCAUUGCAAAGCGACGCCCUACUUUCUUUAAAAAAACUUUAACGACGAGAGAAUGGUAUAGAGAUGUAAGAGGGAAAAUUCUGGGUUCUGGCUACCGACCAUGCCCCUGUAUGGAAAGGGAGAAAGACUUGAUGAAAAACAUGCUUGUGCUUGACGUCGUCUGGUGCAGAAUUUCGGGAAAUAAUUAUUGCAGAGACA
rnacentral:lncRNA from 1 species